CGUGCCUACUAAACGCACUAGAAGGGAGGAAGCGAGGACAGUCGCCUGAGGGGUCGAAAUCUCGCUCUGAUUAACCCCUGAGUGGCUUCCAAUUGCAAACCGAAUAGAAUCUCGCUUUCUUCCCUUGGGUCGCAGCUUGGCUGAUGUGAGUGCAUUGAAGAGCUUUGAACUACUGGACAUGGAACAGAUGAGAAGGAGAGAUCUUUCCAUCAUCUCCCUCCUAGCCUGUCAUCCCAAGGGCCUCCAACAAAUCACCGUGUGUUCUGGAAAUGCAAAACCACUGGAAUAAUCGCCAUAUCAAGAUGAAAUGAGAAAGACCAGAUGCUCACUGGAGGGGAGUGAUAUGCUGACCAAAGACAUCCCCAAACAUGAAGCUGUCCUGCUGGGAUUGUCCUGCCAGUGGUCAUUUUCCUUCCUGCCAUGUCAAAUACUCCCAACCCCAAAGCAAAGAGCCCCUCUGCACAAAGGUUGAGAUUGCGUCCCAGCUGUGGCCAUAACAGGGACAUCGAUCCUCAUCUGUUCCCCACCACUGAAUUCUCCACUGCAGGUUAGAAACAAGCAAUGCAGCCUCCGCUACCAGCGACACCGGUGGGACCUGGCUUUUAGAAGUAAGAUUGAAUGGCUAUUAGAAGAGGUGACGGCUAUAACCUAACACUGUACAGAGAGACCAAGGUAAUGAAGUAACACAGGUUUGUAGAAUGUGGAGACCUGGAAGGCUCUUUAGACAUCAUUCUGGCCAACCCCUUUGCUUUACAGGUGAAGAAAACCAGGACCAAAGAGGUUAAUUGACUCAUCCAAGGUCAUAGUGUGAAUUAUUGUCCUUUGGUUGUUCAGGUCACCCUUAAACAAACAUUUUUUUCCCAAGGUUUCUAAGAGUUCAGAGUUCGUAGUCCAUCAGCUUUAAUAGUUUAAAUGCUUCCCUUUAGAACUCAUUCAUCGGCGGUGAAUCAUGGGAACCUAUCAUGAACAUGCCCCACAUGUUAUAGGUGAUUAAAAAAGGGGAAAGAGGUUUCUGCACCUAAUAUCUUACAAUUGAAUUGGAGACUUAAGAAAUAUAAAUAGCAAGAGGAAAAAUGAAAUUCUUAUGUAUGUAAAAAAAAAAAGAAAUACUUGAUGUAUGCAUGUAAAUGCUGUGCAUAAAGAGAAUUCUAUGGAGUAGGUGUCCUAUGCUUUAUCUUAAAGAAACUAAAGACCAUGUGUUUGUAUUAAUAUUUAGAGAGCCAUUAAUUUACU